UUAUUGGAGAGUUUGAUCCUGGCUCAGGACGAACGCUGGCGGCGUGCCUAAUACAUGCAAGUCGAGCGGG
rnacentral:rRNA from 1 species